AAUGAACGCUAGCGGCAGGCUUAAUACAUGCAAGUCGAGGGACAGCACAGGUAGCAAUACUGGGUGGUAACCGGCAUACGGGUGCGGAACACGUACACAACCUUCCUUUAAGUGGGGGAUAGCCCAGAGAAAUUUGGAUUAAUACCCCGUAAUAUAGUUGAAUGGCAUCAUUUGAUUAUUAUAGCUACGGCGCUUAAUGAUGGGUGUGCGGCUGAUUAGAUAGUUGGCGGGGUAACGGCCCACCAAGUCUACGAUCAGUAGCUGAUGUGAGAGCAUGAUCAGCCACACGGGCACUGAGACACGGGCCCGACUCCUACGGGAGGCAGCAGUAAGGAAUAUUGGUCAAUGGACGCAAGUCUGAACCAGCCAUGCCGCGUGAAGGAUUAAGGUCCUCUGGAUUGUAAACUUCUUUUAUUUGGGACGAAAAAGGGCCUUUCUAGGUCAACUGACGGUACCAGAUGAAUAAGCACCGGCUAACUCCGUGCCAGCAGCCGCCGUAAGAC
rnacentral:rRNA from 1 species